GAUGAAGAACGUAGCGAAAUGCGAUACGUAGUGUGAAUUGCAGAAUUCUGUGAACCAUCAAAUCUUUGAACGCAUAUUGCGCUCGAGGCUUCGGCCGAGAGCAUGUCUGCCUCAGCGUCGGUAUUACCCCUCGCUUCUCAACCCCUGGUUGAUGCCUGCCUGCCUUUGCAGUUGGCUAGAAGCGGAUCUGGCUUUCCCAAUUGCCUUUGGUAGUUGGGUCAGCUGAAGCACAGAGGCUUGAGCAAGGACCCUUAUUGGGCUUCAACUGGAUAGGUAGAACUGGUCUUAGGACCAACUACACGAAGUUGUUGCUUGUGGUCUUUGUCUGGAGGCCAGCAGGAAACCUUUAUACCUUCGACCUGAGCUCAGGCAAGAUUACCCGCUGAACUUAAGCAUAUCAAUAAGCGGAGGA
rnacentral:misc_RNA from 1 species